rnacentral:rRNA from 1 species
UACAGAGGGGGCAAGCGUUAUUCGGAAUUAUUGGGCGUAAAGGGCGCGUAGGCGGCCAUGCGUGUCUUUCGUGAAAUCCCUCGGCUUAACUGAGGACGUGCGGAAGAAGCUGCAAGGCUUGAGUCCGGGAGAGGGGGGUGGAAUUCCCAGUGUAGCGGUGAAAUGCGUAGAUAUUGGGAGGAACACCGGUGGCGAAGGCGGCCCCCUGGACCGGUACUGACGCUGAGGCGCGAAAGCGUGGGUAGCAAACGGG